rnacentral:rRNA from 1 species
AUUGAACGCUGGCGGCAGGCCUAACACAUGCAAGUCGAACGAGUGGCGGACGGGUGAGUAAUGUCUGGGAAACUGCCCGAUGGAGGGGGAUAACUACUGGAAACGGUAGCUAAUACCGCAUACCAUCGGAUGUGCCCAUAUGGGAUUAGCUAGUAGGUGGGGUAACGGCUUACCUAGGCGACGAUACCUAGCUGGUCUGAGAGGAUGACCAGCCACACUGGGACUGAGAAACGCGCCAGACUCCGACGGGAGGCAGAAGUGGGGAAUAUUGCACAAUGGGCGAAAGCCUGAUGCAGCUAUGCCGCGUGUAUGAAGAAGGCCUUCGGGUUGUAAAGUACUUUCAGCGAGGAGGCGUUACUCGCAGAAGAAGCACCGGCUAACUCCGUGCCAGCAGCCGCGGUAAUAC